UMCCAGCACCYRGAGUGGUCWGGAGGUUUAUUGGGCCUAAAGCAUCCGUAGCCGGCUGCUCAAGUUUCCGGUUAAAUCCACACGCUUAACGUAUGGGCUGCCGGAAAUACUGUUCAGCUAGGGAGUGGGAGAGGUAGACGGUACUCGAUAGGAAGGGGUAAAAUCCUUUGAUCYAUUGAUGACCACCUGUGGCGAAGGCGGUCUACCAGAACACGUUCGACGGUGAGGGAUGAAAGCUGGGGGAGCAAACCGGAUUAGAUACCCGGGUAGUCCCAGCUGUAAACGAUGCAGACUCGGUGAUGCAUUGGCUUAUGGCCAGUGCAGUGCCGCARGGAAGCCGUUAAGUUUGCCGCCUGGGAAGUACGURCYCMAGUAUKAAACUUWA
rnacentral:rRNA from 1 species